AGUUUGCUAAGGGUGCUGAGAGCUGAUAGGAGACUCCACACAGAGGGACAGUUCCCAGCACCUUUAACAAGCUGCAGUCCCCAUAAUUCUUUGCAGGAAGCAGGGCUUUUUUCUAGCCAGAGUUCACCAGAGCUCAGCUCCAGCACCUCUCAGGUUGGCACUAUUGCCAUCCUAAGUGAACAAGGGAGAAGUUCGUGGUGACCUCAGGGACCUCUUUUUAGAAAAACAGCACUGGGGAAGCCACGACAACUAAAGUGGGAUGAGAGCCCUUUAAAUGCAUGGUGUAGAUAUGACAAUGACAAAGGUCUGUAUCGUUAAAGCUAUGGUUUUCCCAGUAGUGAUGUAUGGAAGUGAGAGCUGGACCAUAAAGAAGGCUGAUCGCCAAAGAAUUGAUGCUUUUGAAUUAUGGUGCUGGAGGAGACUCUUGAGAGUCCCAUGGACUGCAAGGAGAUCAAACCUCUCCAUUCUGAAGGAAAUCAGCCCUGAGUGCUCACUGGAAGGACAGAUCCUGAAGCUGAGACUCUAAUACUUUGACCACCUCAUGAGAAGAGAAGACUCCCUGGAAAAGACCCUGAUGUUGGGAAAGAUGGAGGGCACAAGGAGAAGAGGAUGACAGAAGAUGAGAUGGUUGGACGGUGUUCUCGAGGCUACCAGCAUGAGUUUGACCAAGCUGUGGGAGGCGGUGGAGGACAGGGGUACCUGGCGUGCUCUGGUCCAUGGGGUCACGAAGAGUCGGACACGACUAAACAACUAAACAACAACAACAAAGAUAGGAAGAACCAAGGUGCCCUAGAGAACUUUGUUUCUGGAUAGUCUUGGUGCCCUCAAAGAAUGCAGCAGCAACCCCCCCCCCUUUUUACAAAGAAAUGGAAAGGCGGCCAAUUUCAGGCAGACCCCAAAUUUUGGAUAGGCUUGGGUUCAGCUUGAAAUGAGCACAGUAGUUGCGAACAGAAAAAGUGCAUACUCCAAUUUCUCACUUCAGCUGCUUCGCUCUGUGAAACAGAUUGGCAUCAGGCACCCACCCACCCAAACACACACUGUGGUGUUCUGCCACCUUGUGAAUCUGAACUCAAGUUUUGUUAUCAUGGAGCUGUUUGUUCAUAAUUCAGCUUUUUUUCAGUUGAACUUACAUUGCAGGCAACAGUGUUUAUUUAACCAAAUGUGUUUCAGGCAAGCUGGAAGAGCAUAUGUUGAAAAAUGGAAAGGGCAGUAAAUAUCCCUAAAUCAUAUUCCUGGCAAUAUGAUAUUUGGCUGCAUGUUACUACUAUAUUUUUUUAUUUUAAAAUUGGCUGUGAACACAAAUUUUCUCUCUCUCUCUCUCUCUCUCUCUCUCUCUCACACACACACACACACACACACACACACACUUGGAAGUUUUCUGGAUCUUCCCUUGGCUCACGGUUUCGGAUUAGUGGUAAUCCAGGCUAAUUUUAUGUAUAGUUUAUAUGAAGUAAUGGGCAGACUUCAGAAGGCUUGGGGGAUUAAUUUGAGUGCAUAUUAAUAUCCUGAUUUUCUGAGGUUGUUUGCGUAAGAUGCUCGCCAGGCUACUGCUUUCCGUGCUUCCUAUUGGUUUGGCACAGAGAGGUUUCGUGCAUGUUUACCAUAUUAUGCUGAGAAUGUUUACCCAUAAGUAACUUUAAGUAAGUCUCACUCCAUACUAUUAUUCUCACUGGGGAAGUUUGAAGCAUUUGAUCUUUUCCUUCAUUGCAAUCUUUUCAUUGCAUCUUUUCCUGCAGUGCAAAUCCACACCUCCUGAACUAAGGUGGAUCAGAACUGCAGUUUUUUUAAAAAAAAAAACCUCAGUGGGGCUUACAUCUGAGUAGAUAUGCAUAAAAUUAUAGAAUUGUAGAGUUGGAAGGGACCCAAGGGGUCGUCUAGUCCACCCCUGCAAUUGCACAGUUAAUUACUCAGCAGCUUUCACACUUCCCAAAUCUUACAGUGCAGUAAAGGUAAAGGACCCCUGGCAGUUAAGUCCAGUCGCAAACGACUCUGGGGUUGGGGCGCUCAUCUCGCUUUACUGGCCGAGGGAGCCAAUGUUUGUCCGCAGACUGUUUUUCCAGGUCAUGUGGCCAGCAUGACUAAGCCGCUUCUGGUGAAACCAGAGCAGCGCACGGAAACGCCAUUUACCUUCCUGCCGCAGCAGUACCUAUUCAUCUACUUGCACUUUGAUGUGCUUUCAAACUGCUAGGUUGGCAGGAGUUGGGACUGAGCAACGGGAGCUCACCCCAUCACAAGGAUUCGAGCCACUGACCUUCUGAUUGGCAAGCCCUAGGCUCAGUGGUUUAGACCACAGCACCACCAUACAUUAUUUGGAAAGGAAACACAUUUAGAAACUUUCAAGAGAAAUUUUGAGAGAAGAAUAGCCUUAGAAAAAUGUGUUCAAGUAUGAUUUCCUUUCUUGUUGUUGCUGCUUUGAUGCAGGAUAAAACAGACUUGAGAGUAGGGAUAUCAAAGAAUUCAGACAAAAGUGGUAAUAAUAGCAGAAAUCACUGCUGUUCACUUAUUUGUCCAUUUCUGGAAAGGAAAUCAAGCUCUUUUUCUUGUUUGUCAACCAGCAAACAAUCGACCCAUUUAAAUUGUGUUUCCUUUCCAUUGAAAUAAUUUUGGCAUUAAUUACAUUUAAUUAAUCAAUUGUGCAAUUGAUAACAUAAAUUAUGUUAAAUAGGGGACAGUGAGACAAAUAAUAUAGUGCUUGGUGGAAACUGAACUGCAGCAGAACAGAAACAGUGCUAAUUGUGUAGAAGACAGGGCAGAGCAGGUCAAUGGCCCAUCUAGUCCAACCUGCUGUUUUCACAGAAGCCAACCAGAUGCCUAUGAAAAACCAGGAAGUGGGACUUGACACCACUCUCCCCACUUGUGAUUCCCAGCAACUGGGUAUGGCCAUUGAUUUCUGAGUAAAUUUUUCCAGUUUUGCCGGUCUUCAGUUCAGCUAUCUAUCCACAUGCCUGCAUCAGUUUGCUUUUGAAAAACAACCCUCAUGAAAAUUUACCAGCAUUUUAGUGCAAGUUUAUUCUAAAGUGCACAUUUCCCCCCAUAUAUAAUAAACUUUUGCAUGUUAUUUUAACCAUUAGAUGCAUUCGAAUGCACACUUUACACUAAUGCAUACAUGUUUGUGCAUGUUAUAGAACAACACUGCAAAAUUCAGAGAAUUGCAGAAGAAUUGCAGGAGAUGACAUGGAUUUCAUUUGUGCGCUUCAGAAAAUUCAGAUUAGGUUGGUUUGCCAUUCGGUGCAAACUAGGGGAUCAUAAGAAGCAACAGUUGGAACAGGGUGGAACUGGAAAAUGUUCGCAAACCGGAACACUUACUUCUAGGUUUGGGUUCCAAGUUGUUUGAGUACCAAGGCAUUUGAGAACCAAGGUACCACUGUAGUUUAACCAAACGUUGCAUUGUUGGUGAACUCAAGCAUGUCCGGACAUGGCUAGAACAUCCAGGCACUUCUCCGAACGUAACAACAAGAUGGCGACAUGUGAAGGAAACAUAUUGCGCCAUCUGCUGGCCGGAGGUGCUCUGUAGACACCCAAACAUUUGAAGGCUCCAGAUAAAAUCAGAACGGUAGCUAUUUCUUUUUAGGCACUUAGUUUUUGUUGUUGUUCAUGAUGCCAUCUGGGCCGAUCUGAGUGUCCUUCCGGCAUCUCUGGGAUGUCUCUGUGUCAUCAGAGCAGUGCUGCUGCUGCUUUUUUACGCCGCUGCCCUUUCUUCUCCCCCUUCUCCCCACCCACCAUCCCUUCACUUUGCCCAUACAAGGUAAAUAUCAAGAUUGCUUCAGUUAUGGAGUCGCCUCUGCCCACUGCUCUCCCUCCCACCCAGAGCCACCAAAGCGAAGGUCUGGGAUGGCAGCCAAAUGCCACAGAGGACACUGGACUCAUAAAUCAUCCCUUUUCCAACAUCUGCAGGCCCCCCAAAGGCCUACCCUGAUCUUCCCCUCCUCUCUCUCUCUCUCUCUCGCACACAACCCAUUGCCCACUUUCUGGCUUUUUUUUAUCCUAUCCCUCUCAGACAAAACACCUAUUGUCGCAAGUCUCAGUGAAGAAGACUCCCUUUCCUCCCCACCCCCCUCACAAAGCGACCUUCUGAAGCCGCCAUCAAAGAUGCCUGCAUCACGGCAGGGAGCCUGUAUCUCACUCUUUUUUCUUCCUCCCUCUCGUACGUAGUUUUUUAAUUUUUUCUUUCCUUUCCCCCUCGCUUGUGGGGGUCAGGCCAGCGCUUUUCAUUCCAGCUUCAUAUUCGCAUAAAGACAUCAAGUUUAAAAAGGGGGAGGGGGAGAGAAGGAGAACUCACCAGAAAGAAUUAUUAGGCAUGGCUGUCAAACACUUUUAUCGGAGGGUGGGUGGGUUGUGGGGGAUUCAGUGCGCUCCAUGUCCUUGCAUUGUUUCCAGAGCCAAUGUACUUUUGCCUCGGCCCGGUGUGCAAGCCCUCCUUAACGAAUUCCGGAAGGAGGGAAACUAAAUAAAAUAAUAAAAAAUCCCUUCAUGUUGAUUGUCCGAAAUGACUUGUCCAGUUUGCAAGUAUGUUAUUGUAUGGAAUGUUUAAUGAAGAAGGGGACUUUAUUUAAAGGGAAAAAUGGCGUGUCAGUGCUCAAUGGUGCUGAGCAAUUUAUGGAGCAGUUUAGUCAGUAGCGCAUGAGGAUCUUAAUCUCAGAAUUAUGGGUUCGAGCCUCACAUUGGGGAAAAGAUUCCUGCAUUGCAGGGGGUUGGACUAGAUGGCCCUUGUGGUGCCUUCCUAGUCUAGUCUAGUCUAGUCUAGUUUAGUCUAGUCUAGUCUAUGAAGCAAAAAUAUUCCCAGCUAACUAUUGUUUUGCCCCCUCCUCUGAGGAGAAAACAGUGCAUGAAUUGCUGAUGGAAACAUCAUCAAAUAUUAUAUUCUAAGCAAAUGAGAGGAUAUCUCAGUCCACAGCUGAAACAUCUGACAUAUUUUGAGGGGGAGGGGCUGCAUUUCUUCAACUCUCACUGCUGAAAUAAAGCCCAGCUCAGCAGCAAAUCCAUAUUGGCAUCCAGUAUUUGUACAGCAACUAUGGUAGCUCAGUAGUAGAGCAUCUGGUUUGCAUGCAGAAGGUUCCGGCUUUAACCACCAGCAUCUCUGGGUAGGGUUGGCAGCAUAGCUGUCAACUUUUCUUGCGAGGAAUCCUAUUCGGAAUAAGGGAAUUUCCCUUUUAAAAAGGGAAACAUUGAUAGCUAUGGUUGGCAGCAUCCCCUGCUUGUAAUCUUGGAGAGCUGCCACUGGUCAGUGUGGACAAUAUUGAGCUAAAUGGAGCAAGGACCUGCCUCAGUAUAAGUCAGUUUCCCAGGAUGCCACGAUAGUCUUAUCAGACAAGCAACUUCUCUGUUGGGGAAGGGCCAUAGCUUUGUGGUAGAGGAUCUGCUUUGCAUGCAGAAAGUUCCAGGUUCAAUCCUCAGCAUCUCCAGGUAGGCUGGGGAGAGAACUCUGCCUGAAACUCUCAAGAGCCUCUGCCAGUCAGUGCAGACAACAGGGAGCUAGAUGGGCCAAAUAUCUAACUUAAAAUAAUAUUUUGCAAUUGGCCUGAAAAUCUAAAUCAGGUUCUAUGUUUUUGUUUGUUUGUUUGUAAGCUUUAGUAGGCCUCAAAGCUAUGGCUUGGAAUGACAGCUGAACUAAGAUCCAGAGUUCUACCUUUUGCUCAGAUGUUUUUUUUCCCCUCCCCUGAGGAAAAAGAAACCCAUUGAAGAAUUUCACCUCCCUCCCCCGAGGAAAUUUGCCAAAAAUGCCUCCUCCCCCAAUUUCCCACCAAUAAUAAUAGUAAUAAUUGAGUUUGUCAGUCACUUUCCACGCACAUGCGUCAGGGUGAUGUAUAAAAUGCAAUACGGCACCUAAAACAGUG